rnacentral:rRNA from 1 species
CAGUAGCCGCGGUAAUACGUAGGGUGCGAGCGUUAAUCGGAAUUACUGGGCGUAAAGCGCACGUAGGCGGCUUUGUAAGUUAGAGGUGAAAGCCCGGAGCUCAACUCCGGAAUUGCCUUUAAGACUACAGAGCUAGCAGGUGAGAGAGGUGAGUGGAAUUCCGAGUGUAGAGGUGAAAUUCGUAGAUAUUCGGAAGAACACCAGUGGCGAAGGCGGCUCACUGGCUCAUACUGGACGCUGAGGUGCGAAAGCGUGGGGAGCAAACAGGAUUAGAUACCCCCGUAGUCCCUGUCUCUUAUAA